rnacentral:misc_RNA from 1 species
CGGUUGUGUUUAAUGAAAAUGGGAAAGGAAGAAUAUAGAAUUGUAAAAAUGAAAAUUUUGAAGGGCAGUUAUUGAUUCUAAAACAGGGUGUUGUUGGAGGUCGUUUUUGUGCAUGAUGGGUUGCAUUUGCUGUAAACCCUCUGCAAUUGAGGAUAGCAAAGAGAGCCCAAGAGAGCGGCUCUCUAGCAAGGCCUCAUCAGACUUGCGGUUAUCAAGGGCCACCUCUUCUAGGAGGGAGGAAGCAUAUAGAGCGAAAGAUCGAUAUGAUAGUAAUGAUGGAAG